GACAGAGGGGGGCAAGCGUUGCUCGGAAUUACUGGGCGUAAAGGGCGCGUAGGCGGGAUGGCAAGUCGGUCGUGAAAUCCCUCGGCUCAACCGAGGAACGUCGAUCGAUACUGCUGUUCUUGAGGAUUGCAGAGGAGACUGGAAUUCCCGGUGUAGCGGUGAAAUGUGUAGAGAUCGGGAGGAACACCGGUGGCGAAGGCGGGUCUCUGGGCCGAUACUGACGCUGAGGAGCGAAAGCGUGGGGAGCGAACAGG
rnacentral:rRNA from 1 species